UAGGAGGACCUUUCAGACCUCCAGGGAACUAAAGAAGAGGGGGACGGACCGAAAUCACCUCCGGGUUAACCACUAUAGAAGAAGAUCAAGCCAAGGAUCCCUAUGUCGCACUACAACAAUACUGGAGAAUAUAACAACCCUGCCUAUCAUGACAGUGACACCCUGGAGAUAGAUAGGAGUCCUUCCAGGAAAUCCCAAUCCCAUCACAGUAACCCACAUGGUAACCCCUACCCCAGGGAUGAUGGAGCCGGGGGGCAGAGAGGCAGGUCUGACCUCCAGCAGCUCCCAGGAGGGGUCCAGUCCAGCUACGACGAUGCCCAGGAGAGAGUACCCUGGGGCGGGUGGCAGGAGGGGAGCUGGAGGGGCAGAGACAGCAUUCCCAUGGGUCUCCUUCCUCCCCGGUCGGAGAGCCCACGAUGGCAGCAGCAUGACCUCAAUCACAGCGGGUACCAGAUCGACCAGGCAACGCAUUAUGACACAACGCCUCCUGUACGACUUCCAUCUGCAACUUCAGGUACUGUUCAAAUCACUUCUAAAGCACAUACAGUAGAUUACUCUCUAUUUACUUCCUUACUUUACUUCUUUAGCUAUCAGUUGGUCCCUUUGAUCAUAAGAACCUUUGAGGUUAGCUGUUGCACUAUCCUUCCUACAGACAGUUAGAUUUGGGUAUGUCAUUUUAGGCGAAAAUUGAAAAAAAAAGGGGGUCAGAUCAUUCAGAGGAUGAUUUGACGAUCCAAUGUCUAAUAAAACAUUACCCAAAGGUAAAAAUGCAGCACAAGGAAGUUGGCAGAAAAAUACCAUCCCGGGAAACUGUGGCGCUAACAGUUUACAGGGCUGUAUUGAUUAGGGCAAAACGUAGCAAAACGUUUUACAACGAAACGUUACAAGGAGCAUUUAUUUUUGGACAAGUCCAGGUAGUCCCUCCCUGUUUCAGUCUGUUUUCUUCCAUUUGUUGACUAAUGAACACAAUCCAGGUAAUACGGUCUCAUCACGAGGACUGAUGAUUAGGUGUUUGCUAUGGUCAUCCCCAUAGCAACUCCUCCUUUGGCCACCUUUCGUCCCAGUUCUCUGCUGCCAGUGACUGGAACAAUUGCAAAAAUCACUGAAGCUGGAGUCUUAUAUCUCCCUCACUAACUUUAAGCAUCAGCUGUAGGAUAGGAUAAAGUAAUCCUUCUAACCCCCCCCCCCCCCUUAAAAGAUUGCACUAUUGUAAAGUGGUUGUUCCACUGGAUAUUAUAAGGUGAAUGCACCAAUUUGUAAGUCGCUCUGGAUAAGAGCGUCUGCUAAAUGACUUAAAUGUAAUGUAAUGUAAAUGUCUGUCAGAGCAGCUUACCGAUCAUUGCACCUGUACAUAGCUCAUCUGUAAAUAGCCCACCCAACUACCUCAUCCCCAUAUUGUUAUUUAUUUUUUGCUCCUUUGCACCCCAGUACCUCUACUCUAUUUAUCUUCUUUCAUUGUCAGCUAGUCAUGCUACUGCGUUUGUCAAAAGGAUGUGAAAUAUAGUACACUCUUAGAAAAAAAUAUGCUGUCUAGAACCUAAAAGGGUUAUUUGGCUGUCCCCAUAGGAGAACCCUUUGCAUAUAGGAGAACCCUUUGAAGAACCCUUAUUGGUUCCACGAAGAACCCUUUUGGUUUCAGGUUCUACAUGGAACCCAAAGGGUUCUACCUGCAACCAAAAAUGGUUCUACCUGGAACCAAGAAGUGUUCUGCUAUGGGGACAGCCUUUUGGAAACCUUUUUUUAAUCACCUCUAUUUGAUUUGGUUUAAUCAAAGUUGAUCAUCAGCAGCUAACGCUUAUUUACACAUUGUAAAUAUUGACUCACGACACACACAUGCAAUGUGAUUGGGGGGUCUCCCCUUUCAAGCCACCUAAAACCACUUCCUUGUGCAAUCAAGGCCCAUGUCAGUGUGUGAUAUAUUGUAAGUUGUAUGUGCAUGCCGUUCUUUGUAAAUUCACUUGUUUGCACUGGAAUUAUGGGAAUGAAUUGUGUUUGCCAAGUCAAUGUCACGUCCUGACCAUAGAAAGCUCUUAUUUUCUAUGUUAGAGUAGGUCAGGGCGUGACUGGGGGGUUUGUCUAGUUAUUAUUUUCUAUGUGGGGUUCUAGUUUAGUUUUUCUAUGUUUGGUUGAUUUGGUAUGAUUCCCAAUUAGAGGCAGCUGGUAAAAUUGUUGUCUCUAAUUGGGGAUCAUACUUAAGUAGCUUGUUUUUCACUUGGGGGUUAUGGGAUAUUGUUUAUGUGUAGCUUCAUUGUAGUCACGGUUCAUUUAUUCUUUAUUUGUUUUGUAAGUUUCACUUUCUAAUAAAUUAUGUGGAACGCUACUCACGCUGCGCCUUGGUCCGAUCAUUAUUAUAACGAACGUGACAGUCAAUGAGUGGACAUGAUCUGAAAUUAAUAAAUAGAAUGUGUAGUACUUUCUAUUAGCUUAACAAAUCCUCCGUAUUGUUAGUGCUGAUAGUAAGCCUAUGAUGGAUGACUUUCUAUUUGUUCAACACACAUUAUUAAGCUCAUCAUUCCUCAGUAAUAGCUAGGC
rnacentral:lncRNA from 8 species